rnacentral:rRNA from 1 species
UACAGAGGUGGCAAGCGUUGUUCGGAAUUACUGGGCGUAAAGGGCGCGUAGGCGGCUCGACAAGUCCCGCGUGAAAGCCCCCGGCUCAACUGGGAACUGCGCGGGAACUGUCGGACUUGAGUUCGGGAGAGGGAAGCGGAAUUCCCGGUGUAGUGGUGAAAUGCGUAGAUAUCGGGAGGAACACCAGUGGCGAAGGCGACUACCUGGCCGUGUUCUUGACGCUGAGGCGCGAAAGCUGGGGGAGCAAACGGG